ACUUACUCCACAAACGUUAUUUAACUAUAUAUGCAGUAGGAGUAUUCUAUUGUGCCAGUAUUCUUAUCCAUCUUUUUAUAACUAGUGUAAUAAAUGUAACCCAAGCUCACUAUAUGUAGCAGCUUAUUGAUCCAAAAAGCUACCAUCAACAAUAAUUCAGUGAGAUGCGGCACGCCGGAAGGUUCCUAAAGAUGACAAGUUGUCGCAUCUCGAGCAUGUCUCAUAGGAGAGUGAAAUGAAGUCCGUUGUACUGUUGGAAUAGUAGUAGAUGUGGCAUUGUUCUAUUGUACAAUUCUGUGUGUUCUUGCUAUAUUUCUGUGUAAGAAAAUGUAUUCAUGAGAUGAAUUAUUGUGUUAUGUAAACCUGGGAGAUGUAUUAUGUGA